GAAAAAAGUUGCAGCAAAAGGCUAUUACUGAAUACUUUUCAUUACCGGAGGGUGCAUGAAUCUGUGCAGCGGAGCCGAUCAUGGCGCAGCAAGGAAUUUCCAAGCGGCAGCAGCCGGCUCUUCCCCGCCCCCUGCCUGGGGAGCGGGAUGCCACUCUGAGAGCCCAAAUCCAGACCUGACCCAGAGGCACAGUCUCGCACACUCUUGCUCCCUGUGCCCAGAAGCAGUUUGAGUCCUGGACUCUCCCCCGGGCUAUCUGGGGCUGCCCAGGUCAAUACAGCUGGCGGAAGACACUAUAGGCAAUAACUAAGCUACAAUGGUUCUCCCACACCUGGAGGCUGAUGAAUAAUGAGCACCAUUAAGGCCUAUUUCAAAUGUAAAAAACCUUGAGAUAAUGUACUAAAUUGUUCAGAAGGUUGUUUUCUUAGUGAAAUACUACAGGAUUUUCUUUAGCCAGCGUUUGGAGUUCCUGCCUUCGUCCCAGUGCCGGCAAGGACGAGGAUGGAAGAAUUUCCAGUGUUGCUGAAAACCGGACGGAAACUUCAGCUGAGAAACGGACGAGACUUCGGAGCUGUUGCUAUUUCUGCUGCUACAGCUUAGGCUAGCUGCCUGCAGAACUUACCUGGACUGUGAUUUAAGCUAGCUGCCUGCAGAACUUACCUGGACUGAUUUACCUGGACUGUGAGUUAAUCUAUUGAGACACUGCUUUACCUAAACUGAGACAACAAACUGUAAUCUACAACAAAUUGUAACUCGGUAUCUUUGCUAACGGUGUCAUUGCUGGUAUAAUUUUUCCAAGGGCUUCUUGCAUGGAGCCAUCAAUUGGCUUGGUAUUGUGGCAUUUUGUAUCCUCCCCUUCUGCUUGUAGCAGAUUAUUUAUGGUGUUUAUGUAAAAACCACUAUGGUCCUUAUUUAAAUUAAACAAAAGGGGGAAAUGUUAGAGUCUGUAAACAAGUCUGGAUGGCGCCUGGCAUUUUGCCAGAGGGAGUGGUUUGUGAAGUAACGCCAGCGAGCCA
rnacentral:lncRNA from 1 species